rnacentral:lncRNA from 1 species
AGAUGCCCUGAGGUCCCUUUGAAAUUGCACCCAAUUUAAUUCUGUGUCACCUCAACUUUCCCGGAGGAGGGCCUUUUGUAUUCAGCAGACUGUCAUCAGAGGUCAUCAGGUACACAGAAGAGGCCAAGAGAGGGCACAGAGGCACCCUCAUUAUCUGAGGCUGCGUAACGAGUCUCCCUGGAACGUAGAAUGAUCUAGCGUGUCUCCUGGAUGUUCUGGGUCAGGCAUCCAGCUUCACCUUGGACUCUUCAGAGGUACACAAGGGCCUCAUCCUCCCGCCACCUCUCGCGGGGAGCUGAGGGACGAGAGCGCUCAGGCCCAAGGAGGUCAGC